rnacentral:rRNA from 1 species
GACUACGCUGGCGGCGUGCCUAAUACAUGCAAGUCGAACGGGAUUCUUUGAUCAGCUUGCUGAGAGAAGGAUCUAGUGGCGGACGGGUGAGUAACGCGUGGGAAUCUGCCUCUUACUGGGGGAUAACAGUGGGAAACUACUGCUAAUACCGCAUAAGAUCUUCGGAUGAAAGGUGCAACUGCACCGGUAAGAGAUGAGCCCGCGUCCCAUUAGCUAGUUGGUGAGGUAAAGGCUCACCAAGGCGACGAUGGGUAGCCGGCCUGAGAGGGUGAACGGCCACACUGGGACUGAGACACGGCCCAGACUCCUACGGGAGGCAGCAGUGGGGAAUAUUGCGCAAUGGACGGAAGUCUGACGCAGCGACGCCGCGUGAGCGACGAAGGCCUUCGGGUCGUAAAGCUCUGUUCUUGGGGACGAAUAAAAUGACGGUACCCAAGGAGAAAGCCCCGGCUAACUACGUG